ACUGCCGGCCCCCUCGCUUCACACCCAGCUCCGCUUCUGCACUCCGCUCUCCGGCCCGCUUUAGGGCCCCCCAACUUCCCGAACUCUGCCCUGGGCACCAGGCUUCGAUGCUUCGGCUCCCGGUGGGUCGCUCCAUGGCCGCCGCCCGCACGGCCGCCUCCCAGCGCAACCCAUUCUGGUUCCUCCUGUCCCCAGUGUCCCCCCCAUUCAGCCUAUGUUUACCCAUUCCGGAUCUUCGGGCCCCAUGAUCCAGUGUGCCUCUUCCUCUUCUCCUGAUUCACCGACCCCGCUCCUGGGUGCCAUCUGCCCGGUCCCUCGGGGACCCCCAGGUGGGCGUUUGGGGCUUGUCUGUCCCCUGGCACGGUGUCUCCCCUGUUGCCCCAUCCAGACUCCGACCCACUCCCUUUGGCCCCUCAGGAACCGCGCCCAAGGAUAAAGUUCAAGUUCUCCAACCUGACCUACACAGGCUCCUUCCUCCCACCAGUCUCUCUCUCCCCAGGGAGGCUGGUUGACCUACCUGGUCCGAGAUACUCCAAUCACAUGCUGGACCUCAGAGUCCCUUUUUGGACAGCUCCUACAGAAAGCCUUCCUUGACUGCUCCCCCAAUACUGUCCAUUGUCUUUGCUCACUAAUUUUGUCGUAUAUCUUUAAUAUCUUUGAGAUAUAUAAAUCCCUGAGAAAAAGAUGAAUACCUCAAAUGAAAUUGGGGAAAGAAAAUAACCAGAUAAUCUAUAGGAAAAAUACAAAUGAAGAUUUGAAAAGGAGUUCAAUCUUAGAAUAAUCAUAGAAAAUCAGAUUUUAAUUAUACAAUUUUCAUGAUUAAAAAGCAAAA